rnacentral:rRNA from 1 species
GUGAACGCUGGCGGUAGGCCUCACACCUGCAAGUCGCACGGCAGCACAGUAAGAGCUUGCUCUUACGGGUGGCGAGUGGCGGACGGGUGAGGAAUACAUCGGAAUCUACUUUUUCGUGGGGGAUAACGUAGGGAAACUUACGCUAAUACCGCAUACGACCUACGGGUGAAAGCAGGGGAUCUUCGGACCUUGCGCGAUUGAAUGAGCCGAUGUCGGAUUAGCUAGUUGGCGGGGUAAAGGCCCACCAAGGCGACGAUCCGUAGCUGGUCUGAGAGGAUGAUCAGCCACACUGGAACUGAGACACGGUCCAGACUCCUACGGGAGGCAGCAGUGGGGAAUAUUGGACAAUGGGCGCAAGCCUGAUCCAGCCAUACCGCGUGGGUGAAGAAGGCCUUCGGGUUGUAAAGCCCUUUUGUUGGGAAAGAAAAGCAGCAGGUUAAUACCCCGCUGUUCUGACGGUACCCAAAGAAUAAGCACCGGCUAACUUCGU